GACAAGACGUGUCCACGCAUAGUAAUUUUUCGCGCGCUUAUCCGUUGAUCUCAGUUUUUGUAAACAAAUAAGUCUCAAAGAAGAAACAAAAAAGUGCCGUUACCCGAUAAGCGUUUGUUACUCGCUACGAUGCGGAGAGAUAACGCUCCAGACAAAAACAAAUUUGAGCACAGAUUUGUUGUUGUUAAACGACUAGAUGACAACUCAAAGUCAAAUGUUUCACCGUUUGUUAUUAAGAAAAUUAUUGACCACACCUGCGGCGGUGAACUUCUUUUUGCAAAGAAGACCCGCGACGGAAAUUUAUUAAUCAAAACUAAGAAUGGAACACAAGCCCAAAAAUUGCGGGACAAGUCACAAUACCUACCGGAAUGCGCACUACGGUACUCCGUACCUCACCGUCUCCCUAUUGGUGAACAUCUACCACAACUUCUUUGGGCCAACUGUUUCGCUUUGCCCUUCUCGUCUGCAAUGAAAACAAUUUCCUGCACGGCAAUCGAAUCUGGCGGCGGAUGGAAUCAUUUGGUAAGUGUUGGUAGAUAUUAUCUAAUCCAUCUUUUCCAGAAUUAAUGGGCUGUUUGGCUCCAAAUUCGGACUCCUUUGGCAAGCGUGGCACCGUUUUGAAUUUCGCUGUCUCGUUCACUCAUUCCAUCAGAGUGGCCGAAUAGGAAAUAGAUCGUUGUGACAGCCUCCGAGCCUGACGAUUCCAGUGAUACGUAUACCAUCAGGCGGCAAGGUUUCCGUUCGAAUAGAUCGUACCAAUCUUUCCUAUACACCGCCCAGAUGCGGUUAGUCUGACG